rnacentral:tRNA from 1 species
GGGCGUAUAGCUCAGUUGGGAGAGCGCCGGCAUCGCAAGCCGGAGGCCCCGGGUUCAAGUCCCGGUACGUCCACCA